UUCGCAAUGCCCGAAAGGGUGACGAAGCGACGCCGCGUGCGGGAAGAAGGCCUUCGGGUUGUAAACCGCUGUCGGGAGUUAAGAAAUGCAAGGGUGUUAACAGCAUCCUUGCUUGACUAAGGCUCCGGAGGAAGCCACGGCUAACUCUGUGCCAGCAGCCGCGGUAAUACAGAGGUGGCAAGCGUUGUUCGGUAUUAUUGGGCGUAAAGAGCACGUAGGUGGUUUUGUAAGUCAGAUGUGAAAGCCUUCUGUUCAAAGGAAGAACGGCAUCUGAAACUGCAGAUCUUGAGUGUAGGAGGGGAGAGUGGAACUUCUGGUGGAGCGGUGAAAUGCGUAGAUAUCAGAAGGAACGCCGGCGGCGAAAGCGGCUCUCUGGCCCAUAACUGACGCUGAGUGUGCGAAAGCUAGGGGAGCAAACGGGAUUAGAUACCCCGGUAGUCCUAGCCGUAAACGAUGGGCACUAAGUAGAGGGGUUUU
rnacentral:rRNA from 1 species